UACGUAGGGUGCGAGCGUUGUCCGGAAUUACUGGGCGUAAAGAGCUCGUAGGUGGUUUGUCGCGUCGUCUGUGAAAUUCCGGGGCUUAACUCCGGGCGUGCAGGCGAUACGGGCAUAACUUGAGUACUGUAGGGGAGACUGGAAUUCCUGGUGUAGCGGUGAAAUGCGCAGAUAUCAGGAGGAACACCGGUGGCGAAGGCGGGUCUCUGGGCAGUAACUGACGCUGAGGAGCGAAAGCAUGGGUAGCGAACAGGGAUUAGAUACCCUGGUAGUCCAUGCCGUAAACGGUGGGCGCUAGGUGUAGGGGUCUUCCACGACUUCUGUGCCGUAGCUAACGCAUUAAGCGCCCCGCCUGGGGAGUACGGCCGCAAGGCUAAAACU
rnacentral:rRNA from 1 species